CGCACGGCUGGGGGGAACGGAGCGCCCGCAGGGACCUCCUCGGGAGGUGGGGGGGCGGAGCUGUGGUUAUGGCGGCCGUGAGUGGGGCUGUGGGGUCGGAGAUCCGCAGCAAGAUGCGGCGAAACAAUGGGAUCGGGGCAGAACGGGGAGUCCCCCAGGUCCUCCAGAGCUGCGCUGGAUGCACUGAGCAGCACGGCGUGGUGCAGGGGAUGUACCGCCUGUGCGGCGUGGCGUCCAACAUCCACAAACUGCGGUCAGAGUGCUGCGACUGACACAGCUGUCAGUAGGGGCGGAAUGGGGCACGUGCCACGUUCUGGGCGUUCAGAGGGCAGCUCCGUGCAGGCAGCGGUGGUGCGCCAGGCUUGUGGCUGUUGGAUAGAACACAGGCUGCUCAGUAGACACGUCUCAUCUAGCGUGGCUUGUGUGUUGUUGGCGACCGAGUGCUUAUUUCUUCCUGUAACUCAGGAACCCCUCCCUUUUCUUGACUGUAUUUUGUAUUGCUUUCUACUUCUUGUUUUCCCCUUCUUCAGCCUCCCCUGCCCGUUGCUGUGUCCUUCUCCCCGGCCAUGAAUGUGACUCCGAGCAGAGUCCUGACCCAACCCAGGACAGCUACGUCUGUGGCGUUCACAGCGUGAGCUCCCUCUGCAAAAUGUACUUCAGGGAGCUCCCAAACCCUCUGCUGUCCGACCGGCUGUAUGAGCAGUUGUCAGUAAGUACAAGGCAC
rnacentral:lncRNA from 7 species